GAAUGAUAAAACUAAAAAAAAAUAUAAUGUACAUUACCAUGCAAACUUCCACCGAAUAUUUGUUUGAACGAGAUCUAGUAAGUAGUUUUUUUUUAAUACAACUUACUGAAACUUAAAAAAAAUAUUUUUCAUCAAACCCAUACGUGUGGGGUAUCUAUGGAUAGAUCUUCAGAAAUGAUAUUGAGGUUUCUA